rnacentral:lncRNA from 1 species
AAAAUUGAGAUAAAAAUUUGAUGAAAAAAUUAUAGAGACAUUCCUUUAAAUUUGGACUACUUAGACCCUAAAAAUUUAUAAAGUUUCAAUUAGCCACCAAAAUUUUAUUUUUAUUGCAAUAUGGCUGCCCGGUCGUCUAUCUGGAUGCUGACACUGUUAACGGAGUGAGAAAAAGAAUAAAAAUAUCCUUGAUCUAGAGAGACCAGAACUUAACUUUUAUGCGACCUCAAAACACUCCAUCUUUUGUCAUGCAUUCAUCUGCAUAGCUCUUAAAGCACUCAACUUAUUUCAUUCAUCCACUUGUACAUAUCUCAAAGCUCCAUCAUCUAUCAUCCAUCCACUUACACAGAUCUUAAAGCACUUCAUCUUCUAUCAUCCAUCCACUUGCAUAGCUCCAUCCUCUAUCAUUCAUUUGCUUGCUCAUAAAAGUAGAAAUCGGAUAGGGUCAGGUCGGACGUAGGUCAAGUUAACAAUUCAUCAAUCGAACUCAACAUGUUUAUUAAACAAGUUAGAAAUUCAAACCUGAACUUGACCUUUUAAUUAAACAGGUAGCCCAACCCUAACCUAUAUAGCUUAUUAAUUAAAUAGGUCAAUUCAGAUUAAACGGGUUAAAUAUGUUAAAUGAGUUUUCUACUGAUAAAACGAAUUUAAACAGGUUAAAUAGAUUGGGUAAAACAAGAUGUAAAUAUAUUAAGUAGGUUUUAAAUUGGUUAAACAAAUCUUAAACGGGUUAAAUAGGACAGGUUACGACUUGAUCCGAUUACUAAAUAGGUCAAAAUGAGUUAAACAUGUCAAAGGUCUAAAUAUAAACCAAACCUAUUUAGUAAAUAGGUCUAGAUGGAUUGACUUCUUUAUGAUCUAAACCUAUUCAUGUCAAACUUGAACCUCUUUAAAAUGAAUCAUUUGUGGGCCGGAUUGAUGGGUAGAUCAUAAAUUGCCACCUCUACCAGCACAACUCCAUCCUAUGUCCUUCAUUUUCUGCACAGAUCUCAAAGCAUCCCAUCCUCUAUCAUCCAUUCGCAUGCAUAGAUCUCGAAGUGCUUUAUGCUUUAUCACCUAUCCUCUGACACAGAUCUUAAAUCACUCUAUUUUGUGUCAUUCAUCCGCUUGCACAAAUCCUAAAGCGCCCCAUCCUC